GGAGGGCAGUGCUAUUAGCCAGGGUCCCUGGUUAGGCAGCCUCCUACCUUCCCCUGCUCCCUUGCUGUGCUCUGCGACGGCCUCCUUAAGCUUCUCGGUGUAGUUCACGAUUCCUUUCAGCGGCACUCGCUCGUCGUUUUCAUACGCUGUGAUAUGAACUGAAGGGUAAUGCUGGGAGAGAACAAAGUGCAGCCAUGUUACUCCACCGUCCUCCCGGGAGAGCACUGUUCCCAAUGCUAGGAUGUUCUCAUCAGAAUCUGUCCUCAGGCCUCAGCAGUAGGGUGCCUGCUACCCGUUACCUGGGACAGCCGUUUUCUGUCCAGAGAGACCAUGACUUCAUCUGACCCUAUUAGAUGGGAUCAUUUCUGAGCUGUGACACUGGGGCAGAAAGGAGUACGAGUAGACAUGACACGGAAGAAUGGCUAGGUGUCCUAAGAGGGGACAGCCUCAGAGCCCUUCAGCUCUGGCCUCAGUGUGGCGGGUGCCCUUUCAGUGGUCUUCUCCGGCCAGUGAGGGCAGUGCGGCUCCCUACCUGUGGCUUCAUAUUCUGGCAUGGACAGUAGCGCUUUAUGUAGUUCUUGUGUUUCUCAUCGGACGAAGGGUUCCCCCAUUCUUCCAACUCUUCCAGUGUCAGCGGAAGUGUGGUGUCCAUCAUGGUGUUGAGAACAUCCAAGAAAGGGGCCUAGUCAAAGAAGGAGGAAGACCGACCAUUGUAUCACUCAAUGGUUGGUAAAAUGAGCGCCACAAUAGCUUCCUGCAUAAACACAUAUCCAGGUUGAAGGAAGACGGCCCAGUCUUCGUACACUGGUAAUUCACCGACGGCUGAAGAACAUUCAAACCCUUAGCAGACACUUACGUAACGCAGAGAACUUACCUUGUGACUUCAGUUUGUUUGCCUUUUCUCCUAUUGUUACUUAUACAAAAUGAACAGCUCUGCAUUCAUUGCUGCUGCUAGAUUAAGACAACCCCACAACAGUCAGAAAAUUUCAAGUUGGUGAUGAGAGUGAGAAGCUGUGCUAUUUUCGCACUGUUGGCAAGUAUGCAAAUCGUAGUCACUGGCAAAAAGUAUAGCAGUUCCUUAAAAAACGAAGGUAAUGCUUUCCUUUUGAUCUAGUAACUCCUUCCUAGAGAUGUACCCCAAAG
rnacentral:lncRNA from 1 species